UACGCAGGGGACUAGCGUUGUUCGGAAUUACUGGGCGUCAAGCGCACGUAGGCGGAUUUGUAAGUCAGGGGUGAAAUCCCGGGGCUCAACCUCGGAACUGCCUUUGAUACUGCAAAUCUCGAGUCCGAUAGAGGUGGGUGGAAUUCCUAGUGUAGAGGUGAAAUUCGUAGAUAUUAGGAAGAACACCGGUGGCGAAGGCGGCCCACUGGAUCGGUACUGACGCUGAGGUGCGAAAGCGUGGGGAGCAAACAGG
rnacentral:rRNA from 1 species